UUAUGGCUCAGGAUGAACGGCUGGCGGCGUGCCUAAUACGUGCAAGUCGAGCGAGAACUUGAUGAUCGAAGAUUCGUCUGAUUGAUUCAGGGAAAGCGGCGGACGGGUGAGUAACGCGUAGGCAACCUGCCCUUAGCAGAGGGAUAGCCAUUGGAAACGAUGAUUAAAACCUCAUAACGCUUCCGGGACACAUGUCCGGGGAGCCAAAGAUUUAUCGGCUAAGGAUGGGCCUGCGUCUGAUUAACUGGUUGGUGAGGUAACGGCUCACCAAGGUGACGAUCAGUAGCCGACCUGAGAGGGUGAUCGGCCACAUUGGAACUGAGACACGGUCCAAACUUCUACGGAAGGCAGCAGUAAGGAAUCUUGCACAAUGGGGGAAACCCUGAAUGCAGCAACGCCGCGUGAACGAAGAAGGCCUUCGGGUUGUAAAGUUCUGAUCUUGGGGAAGAAGGAAGUGACGGUACCCAAGGAGAAAGCCCCGGCUAACUACGUGCCAGCAGCAGC
rnacentral:rRNA from 1 species